ensembl:snoRNA
GCUGAAGAACUGAUGAGCUUUUCAUGUCUCUUCUCUGAUGAAAGCUGAAGAGUCUUUGAAAUAUUCUGAUUUCAGC